rnacentral:pre_miRNA from 1 species
UGAGGUAGAUUGAUCAGCGAGCUUGAUACCCCGUUCAAAAUCGUGAUCAGUAUACUUCGUC